rnacentral:rRNA from 1 species
CUCGUAGGCGGACUGAAAAGUUGGAGGUGAAAUCCCAGGGCUCAACCUUGGAACUGCCUUCAAAACUAUCAGUCUGGAGUUCGAGAGAGGUGAGUGGAAUUCCGAGUGUAGAGGUGAAAUUCGUAGAUAUUAGGAGGAACACCAGUGGCGAAGGCGGCUUACUGGACGGUAACUGACGUUGAGGCUCGAAAGCGUGGGGAGCGAACA